rnacentral:rRNA from 1 species
CGGGGUGAGUAAUGUCUGGGAAACUGCCUGAUGGAGGGGGAUAACUACUGGAAACGGUAGCUAAUACCGCAUAAUGUCUGCGGACCAAAGCGGGGGACCUCCGGGCCUCGCGCCAUCAGAUGAACCCAUAUGGGAUUAGCUAGUAGGUAAGGUAACGGCUUACCUAGGCGACGAUCCCUAGCUGGUCUGAGAGGAUGAUCAGCCACACUGGGACUGAGACACGGCCCAG